AUUGAACGCUGGCGGCAGGCCUAACACAUGCAAGUCGGGCGGAUGAACGGAGCUUGCUCCUGGAUUCAGCGGCGGACGGGUGGGUAAUGCCUAGGAAGCUGCCUGGUAUUGGGGGAUAACGUCCGGAAACGGGCGCUAAUACCGCAUACGUCCUGAUGUAGAAAGUGGUGGAUCUUCGGACCUCACGCUAUCAGAUGAGCCUAGGUCGGAUUAGCUAGUUGGUUGGGUAAAGGCCUACCAAGGCGACGAUCCGUAACUGGUCUGAGAGGAUGAUCAGUCACACUGGAACUGAGACACGGUCCAGACUCCUACGGGAGGCAGCAGUGGGGAAUAUUGGACAAUGGGCGAAAGCCUGAUCCAGCAAUGCCGCGUGUGUGAAGAAGGUCUUCGGAUUGUAAAGCACUGUAAGUUGGGAAGAAGAGAAGUAUGUUAAUACCUUGAUGUUUUGACGUUACCAACAGAAUAAGCACCGGCUAACUUCGUG
rnacentral:rRNA from 1 species